CCCCAUCUAAAGUAGUCUGCUGCACAAUGACCUGUUGUGAUCCCUGGGCCGUACUUCCUGACCCAACUUCCAUGCUUCUACUUUCUUUCAUGUGGCUUUCUGUUGAUGGACUCCCAAGAUCAUUGCUAGCCCUUUUUAUUAACAAUCGGUGGCGUAGGCCCAUGCGGCCUUCUUACCUUUAUUAUUCCAAGCAGCUGUAUGUGAUUCCUGCAUGGUGCCAGUUGUCCCUCCCCUAGAAUUAGCAUCCUGGACGUUAUUCUCCUAAAUAUGUGCCGAGAUAUCAGCAUCCUCCCC
rnacentral:lncRNA from 1 species